rnacentral:rRNA from 1 species
GACGAACGCUGGCGGCGUGCUUAACACAUGCAAGUCGAGCGGAGAGGCCCUGCUUUUGUGGCGUGCUCGAGUGCCGAACAGGUGAGUAACACGUGAGUAACCUGCCCUUGACUUUGGGAUAACUUCAGGGAACUGGGGCGAUUAUCCGGUAUGAACUCCUGCUGCACAGUUGUUAAGUGAGAAUUACGGCGGUGGGGGAUGGACUCGCGGCUUAGCCGCUUGUUGGUGGGGUGGUGGCUUACCACGGCUUUGACGGGAAGCCGGCCUGAGAGGGUGACCGGCCACAUUGGGACUGGGAUACGGCCAAGACUCAUACGGGAGGCAGCAGUGGGGAAUUUUGCACAAUGGGCGGAAGCAGUAAGCAGCAACGCCGCGUGCGAGAUGACGGCCUUCGGGUUGUAACCCGCUUUCGCCUGUGACGCAGCGUGAGUGACGGUAAUGGGUAAAGAAGCACCGGCUAACUACGUG